rnacentral:rRNA from 1 species
AUUGAACGCUGGCGGCAUGCUUUACACAUGCAAGUCGGACGGCAGCACAGAGAAGCUUGCUUCUUGGGUGGCGAGUGGCGAACGGGUGAGUAAUAUAUCGGAACGUACCGAGUAAUGGGGGAUAACUAAUCGAAAGAUUAGCUAAUACCGCAUAUUCUCUGAGGAGGAAAGCAGGGGACCUUCGGGCCUUGCGUUAUUCGAGCGGCCGAUAUCUGAUUAGCUAGUUGGUGGGGUAAAGGCCUACCAAGGCGACGAUCAGUAGCGGGUCUGAGAGGAUGAUCCGCCACACUGGGACUGAGACACGGCCCAGACUCCUACGGGAGGCAGCAGUGGGGAAUUUUGGACAAUGGGCGCAAGCCUGUUCCAGCCAUGCCGCGUGUCUGAAGAAGGCCUUCGGGUUGUAAAGGACUUUUGUCAGGGAAGAAAAGGCUGUUGCUAAUAUCAAUAGCUGAUGACGGUACCUGAAGAAUAAGCACCGGCUAACUACGUG